UGCUGCCCUCUGGCCAUGCUGUAUCAUAUAACCUUUCUUCUCCUAUUUAUAUAUGAUGGGAACCAUUUUUUUAGGCGGUUGUGCAUCUGCCUGAUCACCUGCUUAUUGCGUCAGGAAAGAAUCUUUCCGAUCAGGCCAAAUUGCCUGAUGCCCGGACAGAGUUUCCUGUUGGCCUAUACCAGCUGCAAAUUGUGACACCAACCUCUCCCACCUCUGCUGCGCUGGCUAAGCAGAACACCACUGAAGAGCUGCCUGUGAAACUUGC